rnacentral:rRNA from 1 species
AGUGAACGCUGGCGGCGUGCCUAACACAUGCAAGUCGAACGGGCUAGUGCUUCGCACUAGUCUCUUUCUGGGGUUGUUACUCUAAGGCUACCUGCUAAAGUUAUUGCUUUAAAGCAGGGGUUUUAGGAGACUUUCCCCGAAAGGGGCCAGUGCGGAGCACUGGCCAGUGGCGAACGGGUGAGUAACACGUGGGUAAUCUACCCUCGAGUGGGGAAUAAGCUUCCGAAAGGGGGUCUAAUGCCGCAUAACGUUUCAUAACGAUGGUUAUGAAACCAAAGCCCAAAAGGCGCUCGAGGAGGAGCCUGCGUCCUAUCAGCUUGUUGGCAGGGUAAUGGCCUACCAAGGCUAUGACGGGUAGCCGGCCUGAGAGGGUGUCCGGCCACACUGGAACUGAGACACGGUCCAGACUCCUACGGGAGGCAGCAGUGGGGAAUUUUGCGCAAUGGGGGAAACCCUGACGCAGCGACGCGCGUGGAGGAUGACGGCCUCGGUGUAACUCUGUCAGAGGACGAAG